rnacentral:rRNA from 1 species
UAUCGGGCAAGGAAAUAUUUAUAGCUGUAAGAUAGGCAUGCGUCCCAUUAGCUGGUUGGUGAGGUAACGGCUCACCAAGGCAACGAUGGGUAGGGGAACUGAGAGGUUUAUCCCCCACACUGGUACUGAGACACGGACCAGACUCCUACGGGAGGCAGCAGUGAGGAAUAUUGGUCAAUGGGCGAGAGCCUGAACCAGCCAAGUCGCGUGAAGGAAGACUGUCCUAAGGAUUGUAAACUUCUUUUAUACGGGAAUAACGGGCGAUACGCGUAUUGCUGUGAAUGUACCGA